UGAAAUGAUAUUAUUUUGAUGUUUUGAUCAUUUUAUCAUAAUUACUGUGUGUGGCUGUUGGGAUUCUUACUGGGCUGGAAAAGCUCAUACUACAUUUACUUUCUUUUUCAGAGGCACUGGAUUUGUAGAGAUCAAUGGGUGGGACGAGAAAUGAGAUCAGCAUGGAGUCUGAUUGCUGGAUAGAUAGGAGUUAAUCUAUCUUUUGUUUAUGGACAUUGGAAAAUUAUGUAAUAAAUCAGUACAUUUUGGUUGGAUUUGAUUUAAUUUCAUUAAUCAUUAAUUUUGGCAUUUAUGGAAUUAUUGGAAUUGUUGUUUAUCUUAGGCCUUGCAUGAUCUUUAGGGCAUUGCUCUAGGGCUCAUGCGGCUGGUCACGUGCCGGAGGUGGGUUCGGGGCGUGACAGUAUGUGGAUUGAUAACCUAGUACUGUAGAUGGAAUUAACAAUUAGGUGGGGAAUGCCUUCUUUUUCCUGAGCCUUAAUGGAAUUAACCCAUUUGAACAA
rnacentral:lncRNA from 1 species